UAGUCCACGCCGUAAACGAUGAUAACUGGUUAUGGGCGAUACAUUGUCCGUGACUGAGCGAAAGCAUUAAGUUAUCCACCUGGGGAGUACGCCGGCAACGGUGAAACUCAAAGGAAUUGACGGGGGCCCGCACAAGCGGAGGAACAUGUGGUUUAAUUCGAUGAUGCGCGAGGAACCUUACCCGGGCUUAAAUGGGGAUUGACCGGUCUAGAGAUAGACCUUCCCUUCGGGGCAAUCUUCAAGGUGCUGCAUGGUUGUCGUCAGCUCGUGCCGUGAGGUGUCGGGUUAAGUCCCAUAACGAGCGCAACCCCUACCGUUAGUUGCCAGCGAGUCAAGUCGGGGACUCUAGCGGGACUGCCACCGUAAGGUGAGAGGAAGGCGGGGAUGACGUCAAAUCAGCACGGCCCUUACGUCCGGGGCUACACACGUGUUACAAUGGCCGGUACAGAGGGCAGCCACCUAGUGAUAGGGCGCGAAUCCCAAAACCGGUCCAAGUUCGGAUCGGAGUCUGCAACCCGACUCCGUGAAG
rnacentral:rRNA from 1 species